GCUCAGAUGGCGGAAUGGCAAACGCAGUAGACUCAAAAUCUACCGACAGUGAUGUCUUAUGGGUUCAAGUCCCUUUCUGAGCA
rnacentral:tRNA from 2 species